rnacentral:rRNA from 1 species
UGCGAAGGGGGCUAGCGUUGCUCGGAAUUACUGGGCGUAAAGCGCACGUAGGCGGUCUUUUAAGUCGGGGGUGGAAAUCCUGGAGCUCAACUCCAGAACUGCCUUCGAUACUGGAGAGCUCGAGUCCGGGAGAGGUGAGUGGAACUGCGAGUGUAGAGGUGAAAUUCGUAGAUAUUCGCAAGAACACCAGUGGCGAAGGCGGCUCACUGGCCCGGUACUGACGCUGAGGUGCGAAAGCGUGGGGAGCAAACA